CAGUCGCCACGGGAAUACGUAGGGUGCGAGCGUUAAUCGGAAUUACUGGGCGUAAAGCGUGCGCAGGCGGUUCGUUAAGACAGAUGUGAAAUCCCCGGGCUUAACCUGGGAACUGCAUUUGUGACUGGCGAACUAGAGUAUGGCAGAGGGGGGUAGAAUUCCACGUGUAGCAGUGAAAUGCGUAGAGAUGUGGAGGAAUACCGAUGGCGAAGGCAGCCCCCUGGGCCAAUACUGACGCUCAUGCACGAAAGCGUGGGGAGCAAACAGGAUUAGAGACCCGAGUAGUCCCUGUCUCUUAUAA
rnacentral:rRNA from 1 species